GGAAGUAAAAGUCGUAACAAGGUUUCCGUAGGUGAACCUGCGG
rnacentral:rRNA from 18 species